CCCUUAGAUGUUCUGGGCUGCACACGUGCUACACUGGCAGGUUCAGCGAGCUACAUGCCCUGAUCUGAAAGGAAUGGGAAAUCUUUUCAAAACCUGCCGUGCUUGGGAUAGAUGUUUGCAAUUAUUCAUCUUCAACGAGGAUUGCCUUGUAAGCGCACGUCAUCAGCGUGCAUUGAAUACGACCCUGUAUUCUGUACACACCGCCCGUCGCUCCUACCGAUUGAAGUUUUCGGUGAGUUGACAGGAGGAUUUUUUUGAAACUGGUUCGCCAGUGGAUUUUAGAUCCAAAUGCCAACGAAUCGAUGGCUUUAGAGGAAGGAGAAGUCGUAACA
rnacentral:rRNA from 1 species